CACAGGGCACAGUCUGUCCCUUUGCCAUACAGUGUGUGCUCUGUGAGGCCGGGCAUUCGGCCUGUGCUCGGUUCACUGACGUACAGGUAAGCAGCUGCUACUGCACUGCACAGAGACCCCACUUUUAAUUUUAGUCCUCACCCAGGAUUGUUGCUACUGAUUUUACAGAGGAGAAAGGAGAGAGUGAGAGAGACAUCGACUGGUUGCCUCCCGUAACGGCCCUGAGCAGAAAUUCAACCCCAGCCAGGAGCAGCUGGAGCCGGUGCACACACGUGACCUUCAGGAAGAAUCUACUGUUGUCCGCGUCAGGGACCUGCACCAAGGUGCUCCCGGUGACCUGGUCCACUUUGGAGGCUGGGGUCCAGGAGCGCAGGUCCUCGUUCAGGUGGACGUAGUCGGUGCCGUUGUAGGCGAACUGACUGUACCCGCGGAGGAAGCGCCCGUCCGAUCCCACCACGCAGCCGGUCAUUUCCUGGAGGGUGUGAGACCCUGACCCCGCCCGCCCCUGUGGUCAUCACUGCACGACUGAGCCCCACCAUUUUCCACAUCGCAGCCCGGGGGUGUUGCACAGGCAGGGAGACCUGGGGCGACCCCGGCCCGCCUGUGGGGACGGGGCUGUACCAGGACCCGGGCGCGCCUGCUCACCGUCCUCGCUCUGGUUGUAGUGGGCGCGCAGCUGGUUCAGGUUCGCUCUGCUCAUCUGCUGAUGCUGCUUGGUUUCCACCGUCUGGUCCUUCCAAAAAUCUGGGUCCUCCUGCUGCACCCACGCCUGCUCCAGCCACGGCACCCGCGGCUCCAUCUUCGGGUUCACGGUGUCGCUGUCGAACCGCAGGAUCUCCGUGUCGUCCACGUAGCCGACGACGAUGUACCGGUUCUUCCCGCGGCCAGUGUAUAAUAAAAUAUUCAGCCUCACACAGAUAUGUAGGAUUGGAGCAUUCCACAGACAUUUUCAGGAACCGCCCCAGUCCACAGAUCCCCUCGUCUGGGAGGCCUGCGCCCUGGUACCUGCUCGGAGCAGUGUCUCCUUCCCCUU